rnacentral:rRNA from 1 species
CUUUUGAUGGCGACCGGCGCACGGGUGAGUAACACGUAUCCAACCUGCCUCAUACUCGGGGAUAGCCUUUCGAAAGAAAGAUUAAUACCCGAUGUCAUAGUCCUACCGCAUGAUGGGAUUAUUAAAGAAUUUCGGUAUGGGAUGGGGAUGCGUUCUACUAGUUAGUUGGCGGGGUAACGGCCCACCAAGACAACGAUGGAUAGGGGUUCUGAGAGGAAGGUCCCCCACAUUGGAACUGAGACACGGUCCAAACUCCUACGGAAGGCAGCAG